rnacentral:pre_miRNA from 1 species
UGUUGUUAACGAUGAUGAUGAUGAUGAUGAUGACGAUAAUGAUCACCACCACCAUCAUCAUCAUCAUCAUCAUCAUCAUCAAUAUCA